GUGGGGAAUAUUGGACAAUGGGCGAAAGCCUGAUCCAGCCAUGCCGCGUGUGUGAAGAAGGUCUUCGGAUUGUAAAGCACUUUAAGUUGGGAGGAAGGGCAGUAAGUUAAUACCUUGCUGUUUUGACGUUACCGACAGAAUAAGCACCGGCUAACUUCGUGCCAGCAGCCGCGGUAAUACGAAGGGUGCAAGCGUUAAUCGGAAUUACUGGGCGUAAAGCGCGCGUAGGUGGUUUUGUAAGUUGGAGGUGAAAUCCCCGGGCUCAACCUGGGAACUGCCUCCAAAACUGCAUGACUAGAGUACGGUAGAGGGUAGUGGAAUUUCCUGUGUAGCGGUGAAAUGCGUAGAUAUAGGAAGGAACACCAGUGGCGAAGGCGACUACCUGGACUGAUACUGACACUGAGGUGAGAAAGCGUGGGGAGCAAACAGGAUUAGAAACCCCGGUAGUCC
rnacentral:rRNA from 1 species